ACUCCUACGGGAGGCAGCAGUGGGGAAUAUUGGACAAUGGGCGAAAGCCUGAUCCAGCAAUGCCGCGUGUGUGAAGAAGGCCUUAGGGUUGUAAAGCACUUUCAGCAGGGAAGAAAAGCUCGGGGUUAAUACCCCGGGCCUUGACGGUACCUGCAGAAGAAGCACCGGCUAACUCCGUGCCAGCAGCCGCGGUAAUACGGAGGGGGUUAGCGUUGUUCGGAAUUACUGGGCGUAAAGCGCACGUAGGCGGAUCGGAAAGUUGGGGGUGAAAUCCCGGGGCUCAACCCCGGAACGGCCUCCAAAACUAUCGGUCUAGAGUUCGAGAGAGGUGAGUGGAAUUCCGAGUGUAGAGGUGAAAUUCGUAGAUAUUCGGAGGAACACCAGUGGCGAAGGCGGCUCACUGGCUCGAUACUGACGCUGAGGUGCGAAAGUGUGGGGAGCAAACAGGAUUAGAUACCCUGGUAGGCUCUGCU
rnacentral:rRNA from 1 species